rnacentral:lncRNA from 1 species
AGGAAGGAGCAAACUUUUAUAAGAUGACCGGCCUAGGUCCUUUGCCUCAAGCUCUUUAUAACGGUGAACACUUUGGCCUCAAAGAGAUAGACACUGAAGAACUAAAAGGGGCCAUUCUGGAAAAAAUGAUGGAUGCGUUUAUAUAUCUACAAAGAGACGUUUUUAUGGGCAAAAUAACGGAUGAAAUCAAUGCGAUGAUUUCCUGAUGGACAAGAGUAACGUUGUACCCCGGCUAAAUUCUUUGAUUUUGCACACUGAACCACAGUAUCUUAACUUACUGUCUUCAUCAGUAACUGCUGAUAUUGAAGAUUUCUCUACUUUCUCCUUCCUGGAUUCACAAGACAAG